UACGGAGGAUCCAAGCGUUAUCCGGAAUCACUGGGCGUAAGGGGUCCGUAGGCGGGUUAAUAAGUGAGUGGUGAAAGUCCGCAGCUCAACUGUAGAAUUGCCAUUGAUACUGUUAACCUUGAGUAACUAUGAAGUGGUUAGAAUAUGUAGUGUAGCGGUGAAAUGCAUAGAUAUUACAUAGAAUACCGAUUGCGAAGGCAGAUCACUAAUAAUUCACUGACGCUGAUGGACGAAAGCGUAGGUAGCGAACAGG
rnacentral:misc_RNA from 1 species